rnacentral:rRNA from 1 species
CCUACGGGACGCAGCAGUCGAGAAUCAUUCACAAUGGGGGAAACCCUGAUGCAGCGACGCCGCGUGAGUGAAGAAGUAUUUCGGUACGUAAAGCUCUAUCAGCAGGGAAGAAAAAUGACGGUACCUGACUAAGAAGCCCCGGCUAACUACGUGCCAGCAGCCGCGGUAAUACGUAGGGGGCAAGCGUUAUCCGGAUUUACUGGGUGUAAAGGGAGCGUAGACGGCUGUGCAAGCCUGAAGUGAAAUGCCGGGGCCCAACCCCGGAACUGCUUUGGAAACUGUACAGCUAGAGUGCAGGAGGGGUG